CUUCGGGUGGCGAGUACAGUGGCGCACGGGUGAGUAACACGUGGACAAUCUACCCUUGAGACUGGAAUAACUCGCUGAAAAGCGGGAUAAUGCCGGAUAUGACUACGGGAGGCAUCUUCUGUAGUUAAAGGCGGGGACCCUUCGGGGCCUGUCACUCUUGGAUGAGUCCGCGUCCCGUCAGCUUGUUGGUAGGGUAAUGGCCUACCAAGGCGAAGACGGGUAGCUGGUCUGAGAGGAUGAUCAGUCACACUGGCACUGAAACACGGGCCAGACUCCUACGGGAGGCAGCAGUGGGGAAUAUUGCGCAAUGGGCGAAAGCCUGACGCAGCGACGUUGCGUGAGGGAAGAAGGCUCUCGGGUUGUAAACCUCGUCGGGGGGGAAGAAAUUCCUAACGGUAAUAACCGUUAGGAUUGACGGUACCCCUAAAGGAAGCAUCGGCUAACUACGUGCCAGCAGCCGCGGUAAUACGUAGGAUGCAAGCGUUACUCGGAUUUAUUGGGUGUAAAGGGCUCGCAGGUGGCCCUGUAAGUCAUAGGUGAAAGCCCUCGGCUUAACCGAGGAAUUGCCUAUGAUACUGCAGGGCUUGAGUACUGGAGAGGGAAGCGGAAUUCCUGGUGUAGCGGUGAAAUGCGUAGAUAUCAGGAGGAACACCGGUGGCGAAGGCGGCUUCCUGGACAGAUACUGACACUGAGGAGCGAAAGCGUGGGUAGCAAACAGGAUUAGAUACCCUGGUAGUCCACGCCCUAAACGAUGGGUACUAGGUGUGAGGACGAUUUAAAGUCUUCGUGACGCAGCUAACGCAAUAAGUACCCCACCUGGGAAGUACGGCCGCAAGGUUGAAACUCAAAGGAAUUGACGGGGGCCCGCACAAGCGGUGGAGCAUGUGGUUUAAUUCGACGCAACGCGAAGAACCUUACCUGGGCUUGACAUCCGGAGAACCCCUUGGAAACUUGGGGGUGCCCGG
rnacentral:rRNA from 1 species